GGGAGGGGGCAUUUCCUGCAGCUGACAGGCAAAAGUGUUCCUCAGAGGGGAUUUGCCUAACUUGGGUGUUUCAAGGGACUGCCCAUGUUCACUGUGCAGGACUGUGGGUUGCAAAAAGACCAUUCUAAAGGAUUCAGGCAAAAAAGAGACCAACGGUCAAGUAUAUUUUCCUCUGUAAUUCCCUUUGGCCUCUGCUCUUCCUGAAUUUAAUGCUGUUAUCUUGGAAGAGGAUUUUCCUGCUCAGUUGCCAUAACAAACAAGGGAUCCACUUGCAAUCUGCCUUGGGUUAUUGUAGAUGUUAAGCUCAUUUGGAUCUCUAUUGCUGAUGAAUUGCUUUGAACAAGGAGUCCCCAUUAGCGUGGAGACAUCAGAAUAAUGGCAACAGUAGAAAAUGAGGAGCAUUCCCUGGUCCAGCUACUGCUGAUGUAUCAGGCCCUGAAGAAGCUGAAUAUUCUGCAUGUGAUGCGUGGAGAUGAGCUUGCUGACUACCACUCCCCCAAAAGUACAGGAUAGCGGGACAGGCCAGACAGUCACCCUUUGAAGACAUGAGGAGAAAGGAGAUGUCACAGGCUGCACCCCUUUGUUAUCCUAGACCAGUGGCUCUCAACCUUUCCAGACUACUGUACCUCUUUCAGGAGUCUGAUUUGUCUUGCGUACCCCAAGUUUCACCUCACUUAAAAACUCUU